UACGUAGGGCGCAAGCGUUAUCCGGAAUUAUUGGGCGUAAAGAGCUCGUAGGCGGUCUGUCGCGUCGAUCGUGAAAACUUGGGGCUUAACCCUGAGCUUGCGGUCGAUACGGGCAUGACUGGAGUUCGGCAGGGGAGACUGGAAUCCUGGUGUAGCGGUGAAAUGCGCAGAUAUCAGGAGGAACACCGGUGGCGAAGGCGGAUCUCUGGGCCAUUACUGACGCUGAGGAGCGAAAGCGUGGGGAGCGAACAGG
rnacentral:rRNA from 1 species